CUUGUGCCGGCGAUGGCUCAUUCAAAUUUCUUCCCUAUCAACUUUCGAUGUUUGGGUCUUGUCCAAACAUGGUGGCAACGGGUAACGGAGGGUUAGGGCUCGACCCCGGAGAAGGAGCCUGAGAAACGGCUACUACAUCCAAGGAAGGCAGCAGGCGCGCAAAUUACCCAAUCCCGACACGGGGAGGUAGUGACAAUAAAUACUGAUACAGGGCUCUUUUGGGUCUUGUAAUCGGAAUGAGUACAAUUUAAAUCCCUUAACGAGGAACAAUUGGAGGGCAAGUCUGGUGCCAGCAGCCGCGGUAAUUCCAGCUCCAAUAGCGUAUAUUAAAGUUGUUGUGGUUAAAAAGCUCGUAGUUGAACCUUGGGCCUGGCUGGCCGGUCCGCCUCACCGCGUGCACUGGUCCGGCCGGGCCUUUCCCUCUGCGGAACCCCAUGCCCUUCANUGGGUGUG
rnacentral:rRNA from 1 species